GGAAGAAGUGUAUUCAGCAUUCUACCUUCUUCCUGAUUCUGUGAGCUUAGACCUGCUUCCACUUUCAAUCUCUCUCAUUGCAGGCUGAAGAGGACUGGCCUUUCAGUGGCCCUCGUGGAACGGUAGGAAGCUGAGCUGGACUCUCUGCCACAUCGUUCGGUUCCCACAACAGCCUGAAAUGGGGUCUUGCCUUGUUGCCCAGGCUGGAGUGCAGCAACGUGAUCAUAGUUUACUGUAGCCUGGGCUCAACUCCUGGGCUCCAGUGAUCCUCCCGCCUCAGCCUCACAAGUAGCUGGGACCAUAGAUGAAGCAGCAGCAGAAAAAAUGGAAGCCAUUUUGGUUAACGGGUCACAUCUUAGCAGUUGGCAGCGUAAGAAGCGGAAGGAUCCACUGGUCAGAAAUGGAGAUUGAGGAGAAGCUGAGAGCACGGAGGGCUUCAGGGGAGAGCCUGUCCUUUGGAAAAGCGGGCAAUUUGCACUCGUGGUAGAUGAGUGGGGAGGCCGCUCAGUCUCUCUGCCCCUUUGCACAUGCUGCACCCGUUUAGUUUGACGUCGUGGAGAGCUCCUCCAGGCACGGGCUGUGUGAAAGGGUUUAAAAGUUUGGGGGCAUGGCUGGGGGUCCCCGCAUGAGGGGUGCUGUGUAGGCUCCCAUCUUUUCUGCCGGUCAUGCUGGGAGCCAACAGCACCGGCUCCUGACGUGGGGACUUGCCCUGUGCCAUGACGUGGGGACUCGCCCUGUGCCCUGCGCCCCGGUUCCUGCUGGUUCUGUGCCUUCUGGACUCAUUUCCUUUCCAGGGUCCGCAACCGCUUCCGACACAAUCACUAUUUUGGCUGCGGCCACGGCUUCAUUCGCUUCAGCUGCGAGCUUUUCUCAGCGCAGAGAGCACAGGGAAGCUGGGAGGAGUCCGCCUAGAUGGAAUCUUCCAGAAGCAACAUGACUCUUUUAGGCCUUUGCUGCCAGCUAAGAAGGUGAAGAAAAGUCACCACUGCAAUAAAAAGAGGGCACUUUGUCUUACUUGGCAAUAAACCACCACCAGCAGCAGCAGCAAUAGCAGCACCCCCACCCCCACCAAACCCAAAACAAACAAGAAAAGCAAAAGGAAACCUUCGUUUUCAGUGAGAGGAUUGGCAUGAAGAAUCCUUGGGACACAGGAAUCAAUCAAGACCUUUGGAUGCCCCUGCCUGCUCUGUCUCUAGAAGCCUCAAGCCCAGCAUCCCCAUGCCGACGUGCUCAUCUCUAGCAAAACACCAGCCUCUCAGCCCUCUCUCCAUAAAGGCCACUAGAAAGUACUGUGAUGCCAGGCUGCUCCACAUCCAGGCAGCCUGGGUGACCACUGCCCUUUAUGAGAAUCAGAAAAAGCUGUCUCCCGAGUAGUUGGAAUUACAGGUGCAUGCCACCAUGCCUGGCUAAUUUUUGUAUUUUUAGUAGAGAUGGAGUUUCACUAUGUUGGCCAGGCUGCUCUUGAACUCCUGACCUCAAAUGAUCCACCCGACUCGGCCUCCCAAAGAGCUGGAAUUACAGGAGAAGCUAAACGUUUUAAAAUAAGUAUAUUAUUUCUGAAUUACUAUAACAGACAUGGACUCCAUUUGAACAAGAUACUUAAUUCCAUCAAAAACUUGUCAAAAUAUACAAAUUUAGUCACAAGACACUUUACUACCAUCUACCAAAGCUGUAGUAAACACACACAUUUUCCAUCUUUGAAAUGAAAUAACGUAUAAUAAUGUUUUCCAAAAUAACAAAGAUGUCUGCAGUGAAUAGCACUCCCUUUGAUGUGGCAACUGGGUCAAUCGUGUUAACAACUGUGAAUUCAUCUUUUUAAGAAAUUCUUUUAUUGUUUCUUUUCUUUUCCGCGACAGUCUCACUCGUGUUGCCCCGGCUGGAGUGCAGUGGCGCUAUCUUGGCUCACUGCAGCCUCCGCCUCCCGGGUUCAAGCAAUUCUCAUGCCUCAGCCUCCUGAGUAGCUGGGAUUAUAGGCACGUGCCACCACACCCAGCUAAUUUUUUUGUAUUUUUAGUAGAGACGGGGUUUGACCAUGUUGGUCAGGGUGGUCUCGAAUUCCUGACCUCAGUUGAGCCGCCGGCCUCGGCCUCCCAGGAAGUGCUGGGAUUACAGGCAUGAGCCACCAGGCCCGGCCUUAUUGUUUCUAUUUGUAAUAAAUCUGUUCCCCUUGC
rnacentral:lncRNA from 1 species